rnacentral:rRNA from 1 species
GACGAACGCUGGCGGCGUGCUUAACACAUGCAGGUCGAACGAUGAUGCUGGAGCUUGCUCCAGUUGAUUAGUGGCGAACGGGUGAGUAACACGUGAGCAAUCUGCCCUUGACUCUGGGAUAACUGCGGGAAACUGUAGCUAAUACCGGAUACUUUCACCGGAAGGCAUCUUCUGGUGAUGAAAGAAUUUCGGUCAGGGAUGGGCUCGCGGCCUAUCAGCUUGUUGGUGAGGUAACGGCUCACCAAGGCGACGACGGGUAACCGGCCUGAGAGGGUGACCGGUCACACUGGGACUGAGACACGGCCCAGACUCCUACGGGAGGCAGCAGUGGGGAAUAUUGCACAAUGGGCGCAAGCCUGAUGCAGCAACGCCGCGUGAGGGAUGGAGGCCUUCGGGUUGUAAACCUCUUUUAGCAGGGAAGAAGCGAAAGUGACGGUACCUGCAGAAAAAGCACCGGCUAACUACGUGCCAGCCGCCGCCGUAA